AUCGCUUCUCGGCCUUUUGGCUAAGAUCAAGUGUAGUACAUAUUUGCAUAUUCUUCUGAUAAAAUCCUUAGUUCAUUUUUUCUGAUCUAAAACUCUCCAAUUUUAAGAAUGACACUUACUGGGGAAAAAACAC
rnacentral:snRNA from 1 species